UACGGGGGGGGCAAGCGUUGUUCGGAAUUACUGGGCGUAAAGGGUGCGUAGGCGGUCCGCUAAGUUGGAUGUGAAAACUCUGGGCUUAACCCAGAGCCUGCAUCCAAAACUGGCGGGCUAGAGUUCUGGAGGGGGUAGCGGAAUUCCUGGUGUAGCGGUGAAAUGCGUAGAUAUCAGGAGGAACACCGGUGGCGAAGGCGGCUACCUGGACAGAAACUGACGCUGAGGCACGAAAGCUAGGGGAGCAAACAGG
rnacentral:rRNA from 1 species